UAGGAACCAGAGGAUGUCAUAACAGAUC
rnacentral:sRNA from 1 species